rnacentral:lncRNA from 1 species
GGAGCCCAGCGUUUGGGGGGGGUAACCCGAGCCCUCGAAGCCCUUGAAGCUGCGGGGGUGGCUUAGCUUCAGUGUUUUGGCCGAGAACACCCUUAAAGCUUAAAAUAAAACCUGCCUGUGGGGUGUGGGGAGGACCGAGGCGUAUGCGCAUCAGCACGCCCCCCCCAUUCCCUCCUCGGCUCUGGUUUGGGGAACAGGAUGCCGAGGGCUUGGACCAGAGGGGCCGGAGCCCCCCACUCCGCCCCCCGCAGCCCCGUGGAUGCUCCAGAUCCCCGACCCACACCCCGGCCGGCCCCAGAUGCCCUCCCACACUUACGAAGGAAAUGCAGGCGGCCAGGAGAAGGAUCCGCACCAGGAGGUCUUCAAACUGCUCUAUCACCAACUCCCACAGGGACUUCCCUGGGAGAAGAGGCAGGGGAGGGGGCCCCCACGGUUAAGGUCUGGUGGAUGAAUGGCUGGGACUCCAGGUGCAGGCUGGGAUCCAGGGGCUGAGAGUGGCCUGAUUUCCACAGCCUAAGCAGGAAGGUUCUGGGGGUGAUGGGCAAGCCGCUUGGUACUGAGAGAAGGACUGAGGGAGCUCGCCAGGAGUCCAGAAACAGGCUCCCCAAAGUUGUGGUUAGUUGUUCAAGGGCUGGAGGCCUCACAGAGAAAGUACCUGGAAACUCCUGCCCCCAGCCAGCCUUUAUUUAGCCUUUGGGGAGGGUAUUUGCCCCAGGAGUCAGUCGGGAGAAGGUGAGGAGAAGGGAGUGAGGGGUGUGGGGAGGAGUGUCAUUAAGAGAGUCCAGAGAUUCCAGUAACUUACCUUCCUCAGCAGGGAGCUCUACCCAGGGAAAAAGAAGAAAAAGACACAUUCAUUUGGGGCUCAGUCUAAUGCCCCCCCCCCCAGGAUUCUGUGGCUAAGGUAAGAGAAUCAGGUCACCAAAAGGGCAUCUGAGGUUCACCAAGGUCAUCCCAGAAAACCUCCCAAAACUCUG